UUCGCUAUAUGAAUAACAUGUUUAGAAACAUCACUAGACAAUGAUAAGAAUUGGGACAAAUCAUCUGUCAUAUGAUUGGAAGCCCUUGAAUCUAGAUGCCAAGUAGAUUUAAUUGAAUUACUUGUACUUGAAGAGGAUGUCGAGAGUGCACUUGAGAUGGCUUCGGGAAGGGUAGCCGCAAUAGAACCUUGGAUUAGUCUUUUCAAGAUAGUGACCAGCAGGGAAAGAACCAGAUGAUGCAGUGACAUUUGUCUGGUAAGUUUGGUGAGCAGUUCCUGAACGAUUUAGGCGACAACGGUAAUCUGAAAUAUGAUGGCCAGUAAUUUUACAAUAAGCACAAUUUUUUUUCUUCUUAGGACAAUUGGUUGUGAUGUGACCAAAGUCUUGACAUUCAUAGCAUUGGACACUUCUCUUAGCAUUUUCUGUUGAAGCAACAGUUGUUGAUUUUCCUACAAGUAAUUCAACAGAAGGUAAUGGCGUAGACUCUAUAGCAACUUGAGUUCCAAGUCUUGUCUCUUCACGCAAGACAGCUACUAACACAACGUCAAGAGCAGGUGUGACUUCCUAGUUCAACAAAUUGCCACGAAUCGACUCAAAUUCAGGAUGGAGUUUCAUUAAGAAUUGCACCACCCGUGUCUUCUUUCGUUCUUCCAACACCUCCUUGAGCCUUGCCUUAGAAAUAUUUUGUCCAAGAAUUUGAUCUUGUUCCGACCAGAGCAACUGCAAGCUAGCAUAAAAGGAGCGAACAUUCUUGUCCCCCUGUGUGUAUUUUGCAAUAUUGCGUUCCAAUUGAAACUCUCGCGCAAGGUUUCUUUGUUGGUAGCUUGUACGGAGGUGGGUCCAUAUCUCAG
rnacentral:lncRNA from 1 species